GGGGGAUAUUGGACAAUGGGGGGAACCCUGAUCCAGCGACGCCGCGUGAGUGAAGAAGUAUCUCGGUAUGUAAAGCUCUAUCAGCAGGGAAGAAAGAAAUGACGGUACCUGAGUAAGAAGCCCCGGCUAACUACGUGCCAGCAGCCGCGGUAAUACGUAGGGGGCAAGCGUUAUCCGGAUUUACUGGGUGUAAAGGGAGCGUAGGUGGCAAGGCAAGUCAGAUGUGAAAGCCCGGGGCUCAACCCCGGUACUGCAUUUGAAACUGUCUAGCUAGAGUGCAGGAGAGGUAAGUGGAAUUCCUAGUGUAGCGGUGAAAUGCGUAGAUAUUAGGAGGAACACCAGUGGCGAAGGCGGCUUACUGGACUGUAACUGACACUGAGGCUCGAAAGCGUGGGGAGCAAACAGG
rnacentral:rRNA from 1 species